UUUUUUUUUUUUUUUUUGCCUUGGCCCUUCCCUCUAAAGGCGUUGUGACAUAUUUCUGAACUCAGCACCAAGGUGAUGUCCAUCUCUUGCUUGAAUCCCGCCCACGAGAAACACUCUGACUUGCCUCUGGGCCCAUCAACAAUUUAAUGUAACUGGGUGAAUCACUUGAGGUCAAGAGUUCGGGACCAUCCUAGCCAACAUAGUGAAACCCCGUCUCUACUAAAAAUACAAAAAUUAGCCAGGCCUGGUGACUCAUGCCUAUAAUCCCAGCUACUCAGGAGGCUGAGGCACGAGAAUCGCUUGAACCCAGGAGGCGGAGUUUGCAGUGAACUGAGAUCACACCACUGCACCCCAGCCUGGGUGAAAGAGCGAGACUCCAUCUCAAAAAAAAAAAAAAAAAGAAAAGAAAAAAGGAAAAGAAAAAAGAAAAUUAGCACUCUCUUGUAUAUGGUAUAAAGCAGUUGGGUGGUUCAGAGAGUGCCUUCGUAUGGCCGAGCACACAGGUAAUAUGGUGUUUCUCAUAUGCACAUCCUGUGAAACAUUAGGAUUUUUACCCUUAUACAUGAAUAGAGCCGAUUGGUGAGGAUAUAAAUUUUACAUGCAGACAGCCCACAGUUGUAAUUGUGACUGUCAUAUGUGAACAUCUUGUCACAAUUAAGAUGGUGAUAUAUUUCUUUUUCUUUUUUUUCUUUUUUCUUUUUUUUUGAAAUGGAGCCUCGCUCUGUCACCCAAGCUAGGGUGCAGCGGCACAAUCUCGGUCUAUGGUAACCUCUGCCUCCCAGCUUCAAGCGAUUCUCCUGCCUCAGCUUCCUGAGUAGCUGGGAUUACAGGUAUGCACCACCACACCCAGUUAAUUUUUGUAUUUUUAGUAGAUACGGGGUUUCACCAUGCUGGUCAGGCUGACCUUGAACACCUGACCUUGUGAUCCACUUGCCUCAGCCUCCCAAAGUGCUGGGAUUACAGGCAUGAGCCACCGCACUGAGCCAAGAUGCUGAUACAUUUCCCAACCCAGGUUGCAGGCAGGUGAGGGCACUUCUACCUAUACACAGCUGAUUAAAGAGAUGUUGAACCUCAUACCUGGGCUCAGGACCACAGGUACAAGCAUGGGUCUUCACACCAGCAGAAUAUCUCAGAGCAUGUGGUGACUCUCCAGCAUAACGUACAAAGGUCUCAGGUGGGACAGAGAGUGUCCUAACAGGAUCCAGAACGUAGAAAAGAUGUUGACGCUCCUAUGCACACCCAGUCCACAGUAAAAUAUGUCAUUUUCCCACAUAAUCACAGCCCGAUGUUGAGAUUCUGAAUCUCACACCUGAAAGAAGCUGAAAGAUGGAAAAUUGACUCUCAUACAUGGAUCUGAUCUACAGGUAGGUUGGUGACACUAAGACCAAAAUUAAGCACACCCAUGAGACUAUGACUUUUCUAAAAAGACACAGUUCACAGGAGCAAUUGAUGCUGUCAUGAACAAAUCCAGUCCAUGCUGAGAUUCUAACUCAUGUACUUAGACCCAACAUACGGAAGGUGUUGACUCUAAUGACUGGAACUAGGAUAUCUGUUAUAUUAUUAAUCUCAUCCCUGAAAUUUUCUGCAGGUGUCAUUGGGACAUACACCUGUGCCCAACAGCUGAGUGACGUGACUCUCUUGCUUGGACACAGCUCACAAGGGCCAUUGUAAAAUACUGCUGAUCCUAUUACCCAGGUGAUGUGAGUUCCCUCUCCUGCUUUGGCACUGCCCAUAGGGAACAUUAUGACAUAUGACUGGGACCUGCACCCAGGUUAUGUGACUCAUCUGUUUGUGCUCUGCCCACGUAAGAUAUUGUAACAUAUUGCCAGUCCAAUAUCCAGGUGAUUUAACUUUCCUGCCUGUGCCCUGCCUAUAGAGAGCAUUGGGACAUAUCUCUUCACCCAUCUUUCAGGUGACGGGACUCUAUGUUUCUGCCUGGUCCCUGCUUACAAGGGAAAUUGUGACAUCUCACUGGGCCUAGCACCUAGCAGAUGUCUUUUCCCUUCUGCCAGAGUUCUGCCCAAAGAGGAGAUUGUGACAUAUGGCUGGUCCCAACAUCACGGUGACAUGGCUGUUUUGCCUUGGCCCUGACCUCAGAAGACAUUGUGAUAUAUUGCUUGACUUAGCAUCAAAAUAAUGUGAGUCUCCUGCCC
rnacentral:lncRNA from 1 species